UAAGAGACUAAAAAAAUCAAGCAGCUGAACAACAGGACCCCCGUCCCCCUGAAGAUCGUCUUCUUCAGUCCACCCCCUCCCCGUCAUCGUCUUCUUCAGAGGACACAAACAAAACCAGCCAAAGCCGCUCCUUCUCCUUCAUCUCACAAACAACAACCCCCUUUCUCUUCACCCCACCCCAAAUGACACUUCAACUUCUCCUCUAAUCAAACCAGUGACGAAUUCACUGGAAAACGCCACGACGCACACACCAGGUGUAUAAAAGCGAGGGGUGACUGCUCGUUCUUCACUGCCCAAACACCAAGAACAGAACGCAGCGACACAAGGUCUCUAACGAGCUCGAGUUGAUUCUGUCUGUCACCUAUCGAGGUUGGUUCGCGGUUCUGCUCAUUGUUGAGUUUCAAACUAGUAAAAUACUUACCUCCUCUGUGAUGCUUUAGUUAUGAAGAUUGGGGUGUGUUACAGAUGUAGAGUCAGUCUCCUUGGUGCUGCGAUUACUACUGUCUGAAUAUCAUGUAGCCCAUUAUGUGAUUGAGGCAUCAAAAGAAGGGAAGAUACAUUCCACUUUUCCAGGAAUAACACACAUGAAAUUGUGUUGCUGUGACUACUUCAACAUCGUAUGUUGGGGCUAGUAUUCCUACUGUGUGGACAUGCUUUAAUACACAGUGGUAUUAGCAUUGAAUUAUGCUCAAUCUGUGGUUGAAGACACCCAUAUGGAAGAGAUACAGCCCAAUUUCCUCAGGAACAAUGCACAAGGAAUUGUAUUGCUUGGUCACAGUGGCUUCAGUCCAUCAACACAACGAAGCAGAUUGAUUUAUCAUAUUGGUGUUUUGCUGCUCGACUGAGUUUGGCUAUGAUGCUACACGAAAGAGAAAU